rnacentral:rRNA from 1 species
ACAGAGGUGGCGAGCGUUAUUCGGAAUUAUUGGGCGUAAAGGGCGCGUAGGCGGCUUGACAAGUCCCGGGUGAAAUCCCUCGGCUCAACCGAGGAACUGCCUUGGAAACUGUCUGGCUUGAGGCCGGGAGAGGGUAGUGGAAUUCCCAGUGUAGCGGUGAAAUGCGUAGAUACUGGGAGGAACACCGGUGGCGAAGGCGGCUACCUGGACCGGUUCUGACGCUGAGGCGCGAAAGCGUGGGUAGCAAACAGGA